GGACGAACGCUGGCGGCGUGCUUAACACAUGCAAGUCGAACGGAGUUACGUUUUCGGAUGUAACUUAGUGGCGAACGGGUGAGUAACGCGUGAGGAACCUGCCUCUCAGUGGGGGACAACAGUUGGAAACGACUGCUAAUACCGCAUAAUGUCAUUGGACGGCAUUCGUUUAAUGACCAAAGAUUUAUUGCUGAGAGAUGGCCUCGCGUCUGAUUAGCUAGUUGGUGGGGUAACGGCCCACCAAGGCGACGAUCAGUAGCCGGACUGAGAGGUUGACCGGCCACAUUGGGACUGAGAUACGGCCCAGACUCCUACGGGGAGGCAGCAGGUGGGGGAAUUAGUUGGGCAAUGGGCGAAAGCCUGACCCAGCAACGCCGCGUGAAGGAAGAAGGCCUUCGGGUUGUAAACUUCUUUACCAGGGACGAACACAAUGACGGUACCUGGAGAAAAGCAACGGCUAACUACGUG
rnacentral:rRNA from 1 species